rnacentral:lncRNA from 1 species
AUUAUACAAUGAGUACAACUAGUAAAUUUCUUGAAUAUUUAUAUAUGUUGCUUUAUUUUCCGAGUACUCAUUUAUUCUUGAAAUUGCACUCGCAAUCUGUUAAAGUAAAUUCUAUUUAAUAUGAUAUACGUUUCUUUGAUGAUUAUGUGAAUAUUUGUUAUGCCUUGAUAUGGGACUUGUCAGUACUCCAUGCUAACGGAGAAUAGUUAGCCUGUGUGCACACAAUAUUCUGUAUACCUAGCUGAUGAGAGAGACAUCAGCCUGUGGUGAUUGAUCAUCCCACAGUGGUCACCGACGGGUGUCAUCUGGUCACCGACGGGUGUCAUCUGGUCACCUACGGGUGUCAUCUGGUCACCUUCGGGUGUCAUCUGAUCUCUGACAUGUAAUCC